AGAGUUUGAUCAUGGCUCAGAUUGAACGCUGGCGGCAGGCCUAACACAUGCAAGUCGAGCGGUAACACAGAGAGCUUGCUCUCGGGUGACGAGCGGCGGACGGGUGAGUAAUGUCUGGGAAACUGCCUGAUGGAGGGGGAUAACUACUGGAAACGGUAGCUAAUACCGCAUAACGUCGCAAGACCAAAGUGGGGGACCUUCGGGCCUCAUGCCAUCAGAUGUGCCCAGAUGGGAUUAGCUAGUAGGUGGGGUAACGGCUCACCUAGGCGACGAUCCCUAGCUGGUCUGAGAGGAUGACCAGCCACACUGGAACUGAGACACGGUCCAGACUCCUACGGGAGGCAGCAGUGGGGAAUAUUGCACAAUGGGCGCAAGCCUGAUGCAGCCAUGCCGCGUGUGUGAAGAAGGCCUUCGGGUUGUAAAGCACUUUCAGCGGGGAGGAAGGCGGUGAGGUUAAUAACCUCACCGAUUGACGUUACCCGCAGAAGAAGCACCGGCUAACUCCGUGCCAGCAGCCGCGGUAAUACGGAGGGUGCAAGCGUUAAUCGGAAUUACUGGGCGUAAAGCGCACGCAGGCGGUCUGUCAAGUCGGAUGUGAAAUCCCCGGGCUCAACCUGGGAACUGCAUUCGAAACUGGCAGGCUAGAGUCUUGUAGAGGGGGGUAGAAUUCCAGGUGUAGCGGUGAAAUGCGUAGAGAUCUGGAGGAAUACCGGUGGCGAAGGCGGCCCCCUGGACAAAGACUGACGCUCAGGUGCGAAAGCGUGGGGAGCAAACAGGAUUAGAUACCCUGGUAGUCCACGCCGUAAACGAUGUCGAUUUGGAGGUUGUGCCCUUGAGGCGUGGCUUCCGGAGCUAACGCGUUAAAUCGACCGCCUGGGGAGUACGGCCGCAAGGUUAAAACUCAAAUGAAUUGACGGGGGCCCGCACAAGCGGUGGAGCAUGUGGUUUAAUUCGAUGCAACGCGAAGAACCUUACCUGGUCUUGACAUCCACAGAACUUAGCAGAGAUGCUUUGGUGCCUUCGGGAACUGUGAGACAGGUGCUGCAUGGCUGUCGUCAGCUCGUGUUGUGAAAUGUUGGGUUAAGUCCCGCAACGAGCGCAACCCUUAUCCUUUGUUGCCAGCGGUUAGGCCGGGAACUCAAAGGAGACUGCCAGUGAUAAACUGGAGGAAGGUGGGGAUGACGUCAAGUCAUCAUGGCCCUUACGACCAGGGCUACACACGUGCUACAAUGGCAUAUACAAAGAGAAGCGACCUCGCGAGAGCAAGCGGACCUCAUAAAGUAUGUCGUAGUCCGGAUUGGAGUCUGCAACUCGACUCCAUGAAGUCGGAAUCGCUAGUAAUCGUAGAUCAGAAUGCUACGGUGAAUACGUUCCCGGGCCUUGUACACACCGCCCGUCACACCAUGGGAGUGGGUUGCAAAAGAAGUAGGUAGCUUAACCUUCGGGAGGGCGCUUACCACUUUGUGAUUCAUGACUGGGGUGAAGUCGUAACAAGGUAACCGUAGGGGAACCUGCGGUUGGAUCACCU
rnacentral:rRNA from 1 species